GACGAACGCUGGCGGCGUGCUUAACACAUGCAAGUCGAACGGAAAGGCCCUGCUUUUGUGGGGUGCUCGAGUGGCGAACGGGUGAGUAACACGUGAGUAACCUGCCCUUGACUUUGGGAUAACUUCAGGAAACUGGGGCUAAUACCGGAUAGGAGCUCCUGCUGCAUGGUGGGGGUUGGAAAGUUUCGGCGGUUGGGGAUGGACUCGCGGCUUAUCAGCUUGUUGGUGGGGUAGUGGCUUACCAAGGCUUUGACGGGUAGCCGGCCUGAGAGGGUGACCGGCCACCUUGGGCCUGAGGUACGGCCCAGACUCCUACGGGAGGCAGCAGUGGGGAAUAUUGCACAAUGGGCGGAAGCCUGAUGCAGCAACGCCGCGUGCGGGAUGACGGCCUUCGGGUUGUAAACCGCUUUCGCCUGUGACGAAGCGUGAGUGACGGUAAUGGGUAAAGAAGCACCGGCUAACUACGUG
rnacentral:rRNA from 1 species